GAGCCUGUAACUCAGGGGUAGAGUAUGCGUCUGAUAAGCGCAAAGCCGGUCGUUCGAAUCGACUCAGGCUCA
rnacentral:tRNA from 1 species